CACUGCAGAGGUAAAGAACUUGCUUUACAUUUUCUAAAAGCAAAAUGAAAAAGGAGACUAACAAAGGUGUUUGAGCAUAAAUUUGCUAGUCUAAGAUGCCACAAGUACUCCUUUUCCUUUUGCGAUCACAGACUAACACGGCUGCUACUCUGAAACCUGUCAUUCUAAAAGCAAAAUGGUUAAACUGAAGUUUGUUAUAAUUUGGAUUAUGAAAUCUUAAAACAACUGGUAUGAUUUCCAAAAGUCACUGAACUCAGUGGCACCAGUCCCACUGACUUUCAGCAGGACUUGUGCCCUUCUACAGGAUCAAGCACUUCUGAAAAUUCCACCCAGUCUAUUUCAGUCAAGCUCCAAGGUACUUUAAAUCCAGUUAAUAGAUAUUGGGUUCUCUGCACCGAAAAAAAGUUAGAGGGGCAUUAUUAUGCCCAUCUAUGUAAGAGUUCUUAGCAUACAAGACUGCAGCUCACCAGAAAUCAUUAACAUGUUUUCUCCAUUAGACUGGUUGAAUGUUAGCUACCAAGGCAUCCCUAUUUUAAGUUGUACCAUUUCCGCAUCUUGUUACUAUUCUGUUGAUACUGCAGCAGAUUCUUACAAUACCAUAACUGAGUACAGCUGGUUAGAGACAACAUAUCUGCUCCAUUUGACAUUAUGCACUAUAGGUCUCUGCCAUUUAAGGGUAAAGCAACUUGUUCUAGUGUAAAAUUGCUCUUUACCUGUCCACCACCUGUUUGUGGACUUCUUUCCAGUGCUCUUUGUCUGUAUCAGUUCCUAGGUCUGGGUGCAGAGCCUUCAGGGAAACACCAGCAACAUUAACCCCACUCCAGACAGGUACUAAGAAAUACACAAAAUUAAUGAGUUACUUCACAGUAGAGCAGUUAUCCAUCCACCAGACAAAUCCUAAUUUCAUGCCACCCAAAUAUAAACUGACAAUUAUCACACCUGGUAGAGUGAAUCUGUUGCCGUACAAGUGCCACUGUGGUUUUGAUGUAUGAAUUUAACUUUUUUUAAUGUUUGUAUCUCUUACAGGAUUAAAAUAAGUCUUGUGAACCUAGUCCUGUUUGAGUGUCUGAGCCAGUUUCUUUAUUUGGCAUAUCAAAGUUAAAGGUGGUCAGUUUGGGUUUUUUAUUGGUCAAGGAAUGACUUGACAAUAAGGGACUAUUUAGAUAGCUUUAUGAGGGGCUGGGGAGGUGAGAAGGGAAAGCAAUUUUGAAGUCUCUCGUUCCCAGACAAUGCUGUUUCAAUCACUUGAAGGUGUGUUGAACAAAAAACACUCCUAGGUACUCCUGGCCUAGGUCUGCAAUUCAGUUACU